rnacentral:rRNA from 1 species
AAKCUUAGUGGCAAACGGGUGAGUAACACGUAGACAACCUGCCGACAGGAUGGGGACAACAUUCCGAAAGGAAUGCUAAUACCGAAUGAAGUCAGAGGAGGGCAUCCUCCUCUGAUGAAAGAUGGCCUCUGAAUAUGCUAUCACCUGUUGAUGGGUCUGCGUCUGAUUAGCUCGUUGGUGAGGUAACGGCUCACCAAGGCGACGAUCAGUAGCCGGUCUGAGAGGAUGAACGGCCACAUUGGGACUGAGACACGGCCCAGACUCCUACGGGAGGCAGCAGUGGGGAAUCUUCCGCAAUGGGCGCAAGCCUGACGGAGCAACGCCGCGUGAGUGAAGAAGGUCUUCGGAUCGUAAAGCUCUGUUGACGGGGACGAACGUGCGGGGUGCGAAUAGCGCUUUGUAAUGACGGUACCUGUCGAGGAAGCCACGGCUAACUACGUGCCAGCAGCCGCGGUAAUACGUAGGUGGCGAGCGUUGUCCGGAAUCAUUGGGCGUAAAGGGAGCGCAGGCGGGCCGGUAAGUCUUACUUAAAAGUGCGGGGCUCAACCCCGUGAUGGGAGAGAAACUAUCGGUCUUGAGUACAGGAGAGGAAAGCGGAAUUCCCAGUGUAGCGGUGAAAUGCGUAGAUAUUGGGAAGAACACCAGUGGCGAAGGCGGCUUUCUGGACUGCAACUGACGCUG